rnacentral:lncRNA from 1 species
UCACCUCGUGGAUAAGGACUCUGAAAUUCAGAGCGAAUAAAUGAGAAUGGUGAUGAUCUGGCAUGAUGCUCCAGCUCUAUCUGAACAAAGUGGCUCCUUUCACUUCAGCAACCCAAGAUUGUGGAAGGUACUCAACGGGACACUGAAACUUUUCAAGAUGUGAUGGUGAU